rnacentral:rRNA from 1 species
AGAGUUUGAUCAUGGCUCAGAACGAACGCUGGCGGCGCGUUUUAAGCAUGCAAGUCGAACGGUAGACCAAUGCUUGCAUUGGUUGAGAGUGGCGAACGGGUGAGUAACACGUAGGUGAUCUACCCUGGGGAUGGGGAUAGCCUGUGGAAACACAGGGUAAUACCGGAUACGCCGAUUUACCAAACCUUUGGUGGAUUGGGAAAGAUGCUAAGGCAUCGACCUGGGAUGAGCCUGCGGCUCAUUAGCUAGUUGGUGGGGUAAAGGCCUACCAAGGCGACGAUGGGUAGCCGGCCUGAGAGGGUGAACGGCCACACUGGGACUGAGAGACGGCCCAGACUCCUACGGGAGGCAGCAGCUAAGAAUCUUCCGCAAUGGGCGAAAGCCUGACGGAGCGACGCCGCGUGGAUGAAGAAGGCCGAAAGGUUGUAAAAUCCUUUUCUUGAUGAAGAAUAAAGGUGGGAGGGAAUGCCCACAAGAUGACGUUAGUCAAGGAAUAAGCCCCGGCUAAUUACGUGCCAGCAGCCGCGGUAACACGUAAGGGGCAAGCGUUGUUCGGAUUUAUUGGGCGUAAAGGGCGUGUAGGCGGUUGUCCAAGCCUGGUGUGAAAGGCUCCGGCUUAACCGGGGUUAGGCGCUGGGAACUGGGCGACUAGAGUUCAGGAGGGGAAGCUGGAAUUCCUGGUGUAGGGGUGAAAUCUGUAGAUAUCAGGAAGAACACCGGUGGCGAAGGCGAGCUUCUGGCCAUGGACUGACGCUGAGGCGCGAAAGCGUGGGGAGCAAACAGGAUUAGAUACCCUAGUAGUCC